CGCGCGAAGGUGAGGGGUAGGGCAGCCCGAAAUGGCGGCCUACCUGACGCACCAGCAGAAGGUGCUGCGGCUCUAUAAGAAAUCCCUGCGGCACCUGGAGUCCUGGUGCAUCUACCGAGACAAGUACCGCUACUUUGCCUGCCUCCUGAGAGAACGAUUUGAUAAGAACAAGGAUGUGAAGGAUAUGGUGAAAGCUACAGAGCUGCUGAAGGCAGGUGAGGAGGAGUUCUGGGCAAACCAGCAUCCUCAGCCAUACAUCUUCCCUGACUCCCCUGGGGGCACUUCCUAUGAGAGAUACGAGUGCUACAAGAUUCCUGAAUGGUGCUUGGAUUACUGGCAUCCUUCUGAGAAGGCAAUGUAUCCUGAUUACUUUGCCAAACGAGAGCAAUGGAAGAAGCUGCAGCGGGAAAGCUGGGAUAAAGAGAUUAAGCAAUUGGAAGAAGAAACUCCAGCUGAUGGUCCAAGAACUGAAGCUUUGCCUCCAGCUCGUAAGGAAGGUCAUCUGCCACCACUGUGGUGGCAUUAUGUUACGAGACCUCGUGAAAUGCCCAUGUAAAAGCAUUACUUCACGUGAGAAUCAAAGCGGUCUAUCUUCUGUAGGCAGUUGACAUGGCAGUGACCGCAUGCUACUCUAAAGUACUUUCAGACUGUCUGUUACCGAGUAUCUUAAAAAAUUCAUUGAUUACAGAUUGGAAUGGAUAGAGACAAAUUAGUUUCCUCAC